rnacentral:misc_RNA from 1 species
CAAGAAUCGAGGCUGACGGUGCCUACUCUGUAGGCUCCGUCCAGUCCCGCUCUCUACCCUUGCCUACUGCACCGUUUGUUGCUUCCUGGCGGCGGCGUCCCGUCGCCAGGGCCUUUUGAAAGCCAAGUAUAAGCAUUGAAACUUCUGACAUACACUAAAUCGUA